AAAUUUGUUAACAAGUGUGCUGCCAUCAUGCGACCAGAGCCAGAAAUUGUCCUAUUGGAUCAAAACAAGACGUCGAGUGUCAAGUACUCAUUGGAAUUUAGUGUCAAGUCCAGAGUCUGUCUUUUAUUACUUAUACUUAUUAUUUUCUCUGCUGUUUUUUUAGUUUUUUUGGACCGGAUGUCCUCUUUAACGAGCGUCUACAAAUUCCCCUUUCUUAUUAAAUUCUAACUAUUCUAGGUAUAAUUUUCCUGAAUGGACGUGAAUAUCCCUUCAAAAGAACUGUCCUAGUCCUGUUGUCGGAUGGGAGAAGAAUCAACCCAGAAUAAAAGUCUUUUCAGAAUCAGUCAGAAUAAAAGAUUGGGACCCAAUCUGCCCAUCGCGAUGUUCACUUCAUCCAUUUAUGAAUAAGUAGUAGUGAACCAGUUCCCUGACAUCCCUUUCCCACCAUUCUUUUCCAUACCUGAAGAAGGAGCCAUCAAGCUCCGAAACGUUGGCAAGGAAUAAAGGAGGAGAAAAUCAAAGGUCAAAAUUCCGUGUUUGCACUACUUAAAAAGCAACAUAACAUGAUUACAUUGAAACAAGUAUCCAAAUUUGCACGAGCAAGAAAGAUACAUUCCUCCUGAAAGGAACGUGGACUGGAAGACAUGGAAAGCUCUUAACCAUUUAAGAAGUUAUCUAGCAUGGUCGACAAUAAGUGGAAGAAAGGAAGGGUAUCCUAAGAACUCACAGCAUUUAGGGUUAGCCUAUCUACACACUAAUCAGACGUAGUAGGCCAGCUCCAUGUAGAUCUUCCUUAAUAGAAUUAAAGAUGGAACAAGAGUUUACGAACAGUACCGUCUACAUCUGGCAACCUCAGAAACAGAAAUCAAUCACAUCUACGAUAUCCACAAGUCCCCAUCAAGAGACGAAAUCUCGCAGGACAAAACCAUUUAAUAUCGUUUAGAUUGUGUAUUUUACCGGUUUAUUUUGAGUUGAGAUCUUUCGGUCUAGCCCCCGGCGAAGUAAUUUUAUUAUAUGGAGCUGUCUGAAGCCAACUCACAAAUUGAUCAAAAACUGAGCUUACACUUCUCAGAAAAAGACUGCAUUUAGACAGAUAUAUAGUAUAUUUAUCCCUCUUUACAGGGACCAGAGUCUUGUACACAAGGAACACCUCAAUUUUGACAUAUAUCGUGUAACGGUCAAGAGUGCAGAAAAAAUUCCCAUACGCAUUUGUAUGUGAAAGUAAGAAAUUGGCUUCAACUUUGAAGGCCACUCGACGGAGACUAUUUUCCGGUGUUCGCAAGGGGUAACUCAACUCAUUUCUAUUGUUUCGCGAUGCAAUUAUUUGGUUUCUCGGGUUUCCUGACGCAAUUUUUGGAUUUCCCGGGUCUCGCAAAGCGUUUCUCGGAUAAAUGACAAUGGUUUCUCAAUAUGAGUUACCCCUUGGGUCUUCGUCAGAGACAGCUUCUUUUUCUCAAAUAAAAAACUCAAAUUUUCUCCCAUUUUCUCCAAAGAUUUCGGCCCUUGGUACGGGUCUUUCUCAGUGAAUCAAUUGGAAUCCUUUACUUAUUUGGGAAACGUCUAACGUCUGCUUCCAUCACCACUAGCACUCUUUCAAUUUCUUGAACUUUUACAAAUCAUUAUUUUCUGGAUUAAAAAAAAUCUGCAGAAGAGUCUCUUAAAUCUGAACAAUCGUAUAAAAUGAAAAACGAAUACGUCGUCGUGAAGAUCUGUGAGAAAGGUACGAGUGUGAAAUAUUUGAUUGAAUUGUAAUUUUGUAAUCCAUUAAAAAGAAAUUUGAAUUUAGACGAAAACGCAAUAGGCGUUGAAACAAAAGUAGUCUGUGAAAAACUACGUAACUGUGAAGUCUGUGAAAAUUUGUUGAAUAAAGAAUUCAACUAUUAUCUACAUUUUCCAAAUAAUUUACUCCAAGCGUUCCAAUUUAGAAUAUACCUCUACGGGUUCUAUUCUACGGUAUCUUGAUUCUUGAUGUUAGCUCUCAGUCAGUCUCAAUCUCUCAAUCGCUUUGUCUCUGCGAUGUUCGGCCUUCUUCUUCUUCUAUUUUAUGUAAGGCUGUCUGGCUCACUCGGGUCCAUAUAGCCAUGACGGCCUGGCAAUCAGACCCGAGGCGCAUAACGUCAUCAGCCCUGUAUAAGGUUGCAUUUCUAUCUUGAUUAUUUUAUUGGUUGAUAUGCUUGUGUGAAAAUGUAUGAAAGACGAAAUGUUAAAUACGAAUUUUCUCAAAUACGAAAUGUGAAAUACGAACAUGUAAAAUAUGAAAUGUAAAAUACGAAGCUUCUGUAAAUCCUCAUCACUUUCGCAAAGUAACCAGGACCGGUCUUGCAGUUUAGUGAUUAAAAUAGUAACUUCAGAAAAUAAAAAUUAUUAUAAAAAGUAGUAAGGAGCAGUGAAAAAGACAAGUUCAAAUUGACAAUAAAUUGUAACUUAAUUGUAAAAAGGUGUCUUUCAAGUGAUAAAUAAUAUAACAAGAGGACAUUCAUCGAAGAUAAUAUUCAACCGGGUGCUCCAAGCCGGAUAUAUUGGCUAUUUUAUUGAUACAAUUAUUUCUGUCUGCAGGUAAUCAUCUUUAAACACCUGGUGACCCCCGGCAUGGAGUAUCAGAUUUAAAGAUUUAUCUCAAAAUUGAGGGAUCUAAGAUCGAAAUCAGUGAUAAGUCCAGAUAAGCUUUAUGGUAGCUGAGAUUCAUUACAAGAAACCUGGAAAAUUAAAACCACGGAGUUCCCUUGCAACAUAUUUUAUUCAAAGAAGUGUAUCCUCGCAGCGAAUGUACUCCCCAAUAUCUGCUUGGUGAAAGCAGACUGUGGCCAGAGGAUCAGCCAAUUUGCAUUCUGCUGUUGACCGAGCAGCAACACCAAAUCCCAGGGGCAGAUCACUCAUGCUGUACACAAUAACUCCCUGAUACUUUGGCGUGUUCUCUGUGAUUCUGCCCAUUCCGGACUUGGCAAUGUGAUUUCCGUACAAAAACUGUUGCUCAGCCGAUGGUUUUACCCAAAUCUUGUAUUGAGCAUAGGGAGCGAGAUAAGCGAGGGCUGUUAUGUGGAGCUUGAACUUGUUGCUCUUGCUGAAUUUGCCAAAACACGUUCCGGAGCAGACCAACUGCUCAGGAGAGAAGUUCUCUGCGAGUUUCAUUAUCUUUUCAGAUACAUAGUACACUCUGUCGCGUUUCUCGCGGAAGCAGUAAGUUCCAUCCGGACGGUCAAUGAGUUGCUUCACAUUUGGACCAAUGCUGAAAGUGAGGUUAGGGUUAGGACACAUUCAAAUACAAAACCGCCAACUAUGAUUAACUUACUAUUUUGACAGUUUUUCAAAUAAAAUCUUCGUUCUUUCCUCUGAGAGUCUCUUCAUAAUUAUCA